UUUGUCUGGCUAACAGUAAAAAUACUAUAAUAAAUCGGGAACAUAUGUUGCCAGACAAGAAUAAGUGAUAUAAAUAAAGAGUCAAGAGACAUAGCCCCUCAAGAACAAUGUAUUGCAUUUUAAAUCAAAAUGCUCUCCAUGACUGCCUGCUUUGCAGCACUAGGCGCCCAUUGAAAUUCAGCUGCAAGCAGGCUCGCUCUUACGGCCACGCUCUGGCCAUUAGUUUUGGAUUAUCAGCAGCCGUGGAGUUUUGCAGGCAGAUGCAACGCAAGGUCCUUCAGCUGAGCGAGCGCGUCCCUCCCUGCUCCCUAAUCCUGCUGCCGAACUGCAAACAAAAGUCGUGGGAGGAACGUGCCGGCCUUUGGCCAGGAACAGAAAGGGGGGAAAUGAGCAUGGAAACCCUGCAGCCUGUGCAGCGUAAUAAAAAUCUGUUCUUUAUCUCUUGU
ensembl:lncRNA